AAUAUAAUUUUUCAAUCUUCCUUUCGAUAUGAAUAUAAAUAUUGAUAUUGCAGAGUACCUGAGGGGAAAAGGAAGGCUGUGCUUAACAAAGUAAAUCAGAAAGAUGGGAAAGCUACACCAACGCCGAAAAGGUCUGCAAAUAAAGAUGCAACAAAAGUUGAAGAUAAGAAUCCAUCUAGAGAUUCUACCUCAUUAGAAUCCAACGACUGGAGAACGAAAUUUGAAGAGAAGGCUGAAGAGAUUAACUGUCUUAAUGGGCAGGUGAAGUUUCUUGCCCAAGAGUUAGGUUUAGAAGGAGAAGCAUCAGAAAAGAUACUUACAGAGGCAGC